rfam:Salmo salar isolate Sally breed double haploid chromosome ssa25, whole genome shotgun sequence.
UGCAUUCACUACUGUAAGUCGCUCUGGAUAAGAGCGUCUGCUAAAUAUUACAAA